AAUGAACGCUAGCGGGAGGCCUAACACAUGCAAGCCGAGCGGUAUUGUUUCUUCGGAAAUGAGAGAGCGGCGUACGGGUGCGUAACACGUGUGCAACCUGCCUUUAUCUGGGGGAUAGCCUUUCGAAAGGAAGAUUAAUACUCCAUAAUAUAUUGAACGGCAUCGUUUAAUAUUGAAAGCUCCGGCGGAUAGAGAUGGGCACGCGCAAGAUUAGCUAGUUGGUGAGGUAACGGCUCACCAAGGCGAUGAUCUUUAGGGGGCCUGAGGGGGUGAUCCCCCACACUGGUACUGAGACACGGACCAGACUCCUACGGGAGGCAGCAGUGAGGAAUAUUGGUCAAUGGGUGCAAGCCUGAACCAGCCAUCCCGCGUGAAGGACGACUGCCCUAUGGGUUGUAAACUUCUUUUGUAUAGGGAUAAACCUACCCUCGUGAGGGUAGCUGAAGGUACUAUACGAAUAAGCACCGGCUAACUCCGUGCCAGCAGCCGCCGUAAUAC
rnacentral:rRNA from 1 species